AUUCAGCUGACGAGUCCCAAUUAGGACGAAACGUACGUUCUGGAU
rnacentral:hammerhead_ribozyme from 1 species